AUCCUUCAAUAGGUAGCAUUUCCCAAGAUGCCUUGCGGGCCGGCCAGCAGAAAAACUUAAAAACAAUGGCGGACAGUGAAGCGGGAGCUGUUGGAGAGGAUUGCGCAUAUAAAUGUAAGUAUAAACUUGAAAACUGUUAGGUUAAGGACUUUUUGUGAUACAUGAACGUUAUUUUAGUUAGAAAUGUUACAGUAAAAGUGCUUGUAUUGCGGUCUCGGCUCGUAUGUUCGGCCGCGCUCGGUGUCGUACUUCUCCCACUACGUUUCCCCCUGAUUUUAAUAGAAGUUUGUAUUUUAGGAACAAAAGAGAAAACCAGGGAAUUUAUUAAGCUUAGGGCGGAGAUGGACCACAUGAUCACCGGAGCAAAGUAUUCGGCGGCUGUGGCAUGGAGACUAUUCUGGAGAAAAUGGGCAUCCAGGGGAAGGUGCCAGCGAUGAGCUUCUGGAGCUGAUCUGGGAGGAAUUGAGGCUGCAGAGGGAGGCAGAGCAGCAGAGGGCACAGGAGAGAAGGGAGAAUUUUGACAGCUUUUUACUUUGCUAGAAAAAAAUGGUUAAGGAAGAUUAAACAUGUACAUAUAAAAGAAAUAUCUAAAUAAAAUCAGUUCUGCAUUAAA